GACGAACGCUGGCGGCGUGCUUAACACAUGCAAGUCGAACGGAAAGGCCCUGCUUUUGUGGGGUGCUCGAGUGGCGAACGGGUGAGUAACACGUGAGUAACCUGCCCUUGACUUUGGGAUAACUUCAGGAAACUGGGGCUAAUACCGGAUAGGAGUUCCUGCUGCAUGGUGGGGGUUGGAAAGUUUCGGCGGUUGGGGAUGGACUCGCGGCUUAUCAGCUUGUUGGUGGGGUAGUGGCCUACCAAGGCUUUGACGGGUAGCCGGCCUGAGAGGGUGACCGGCCACAUUGGGACUGAGAUACGGCCCAGACUCCUACGGGAGGCAGCAGUGGGGAAUAUUGCACAAUGGGCGGAAGCCUGAUGCAGCAACGCCGCGUGCGGGAUGACGGCCUUCGGGUUGUAAACCGCUUUCGCCUGUGACGAAGCGUGAGUGACGGUAAUGGGUAAAGAAGCACCGGCUAACUACGUG
rnacentral:rRNA from 1 species